UUCUGUAGCAAGGUUAACCGUAUAGGGGAGCCGCAGGGAAACCGAGUCUUAACUGGGCGUUAAGUUGCAGGGUAUAGACCCGAAACCCGGUGAUCUAGCCAUGGGCAGGUUGAAGGUUGGGUAACACUAACUGGAGGACCGAACCGACUAAUGUUGAAAAAUUAGCGGAUGACUUGUGGCUGGGGGUGAAAGGCCAAUCAAACCGGGAGAUAGCUGGUUCUCCCCGAAAGCUAUUUAGGUAGCGCCUCGUGAAUUCAUCUUCGGGGGUAGAGCACUGUUUCGGCUAGGGGGUCAUCCCGACUUACCAACCCGAUGCAAACUACGAAUACCGAAGAAUGUUAUCACGGGAGACACACGGCGGGUGCUAACGUCCGUCGUGAAGAGGGAAACAACCCAGACCGCCAGCUAAGGUCCCAAAGUCAUGGUUAAGUGGGAAACGAUGUGGGAAGGCCCAGACAGCCAGGAUGUUGGCUUAGAAGCAGCCAUCAUUUAAAGAAAGCGUAAUAGCUCACUGGUCGAGUCGGCCUGCGCGGAAGAUGUAACGGGGCUAAACCAUGCACCGAAGCUGCGGCAGCGACACUAUGUGUUGUUGGGUAGGGGAGCGUUCUGUAAGCCGUUGAAGGUGGCCUGUGAGGGUUGCUGGAGGUAUCAGAAGUGCGAAUGCUGACAUAAGUAACGAUAAUGCGGGUGAAAAACCCGCACGCCGGAAGACCAAGGGUUCCUGUCCAACGUUAAUCGGGGCAGGGUGAGUCGACCCCUAAGGCGAGGCCGAAAGGCGUAGUCGAUGGGAAACAGGUUAAUAUUCCUGUACUUGGUGUUACUGCGAAGGGGGGACGGAGAAGGCUAUGUUGGCCGGGCGACGGUUGUCCCGGUUUAAGCAUGUAGGCGGAUGUUCCAGGUAAAUCCGGAACGUUAUUAACGCUGAGGUGUGAUGACGAGGCACUACGGUGCUGAAGUGACAAAUGCCCUGCUUCCAGGAAAAGCCUCUAAGCAUCAGGUAACAUCAAAUCGUACCCCAAACCGACACAGGUGGUCAGGUAGAGAAUACCAAGGCGCUUGAGAGAACUCGGGUGAAGGAACUAGGCAAAAUGGUGCCGUAACUUCGGGAGAAGGCACGCUGAUGGUAGGUGAAGUGACUUGCUCAUGGAGCUGAAAUCAGUCGAAGAUACCAGCUGGCUGCAACUGUUUAUUAAAAACACAGCACUGUGCAAACACGAAAGUGGACGUAUACGGUGUGACGCCUGCCCGGUGCCGGAAGGUUAAUUGAUGGGGUUAUCCUCACGGAGAAGCUCUUGAUCGAAGCCCCGGUAAACGGCGGCCGUAACUAUAACGGUCCUAAGGUAGCGAAAUUCCUUGUCGGGUAAGUUCCGACCUGCACGAAUGGCGUAAUGAUGGCCAGGCUGUCUCCACCCGAGACUCAGUGAAAUUGAACUCGCUGUGAAGAUGCAGUGUACCCGCGGCAAGACGGAAAGACCCCGUGAACCUUUACUAUAGCUUGACACUGAACACUGGUCCUUGAUGUGUAGGAUAGGUGGGAGGCUUUGAAGUGUGGACGCCAGUCUGCAUGGAGCCGUCCUUGAAAUACCACCCUUUAAUGGCUGGUGUUCUAACGUGGGCCCCUAAUCGGGGUUGCGGACAGUGUCUGGUGGGUAGUUUGACUGGGGCGGUCUCCUCCUAAAGAGUAACGGAGGAGCACGAAGGUCAGCUAAUCCUGGUCGGACAUCAGGAGGUUAGUGCAAUGGCAUAAGCUGGCUUGACUGCGAGCGUGACGGCGCGAGCAGGUGCGAAAGCAGGUCAUAGUGAUCCGGUGGUUCUGAAUGGAAGGGCCAUCGCUCAACGGAUAAAAGGUACUCCGGGGAUAACAGGCUGAUACCGCCCAAGAGUUCAUAUCGACGGCGGUGUUUGGCACCUCGAUGUCGGCUCAUCACAUCCUGGGGCUGAAGUAGGUCCCAAGGGUAUGGCUGUUCGCCAUUUAAAGUGGUACGCGAGCUGGGUUUAGAACGUCGUGAGACAGUUCGGUCCCUAUCUGCCGUGGGCGCUGGAGAAUUGAGGGGGGCUGCUCCUAGUACGAGAGGACCGGAGUGGACGCAUCACUGGUGUUCGGGUUGUCAUGCCAAUGGCAUUGCCCGGUAGCUAAAUGCGGAAGAGAUAAGUGCUGAAAGCAUCUAAGCACGAAACUUGCCCCGAGAUGAGUUCUCCCUGACUCCUUGAGAGUCCUGAAGGAACGUUGAAGACGACGACGUUGAUAGGCCGGGUGUGUAAGCGCAGCGAUGCGUUGAGCUAACCGGUACUAAUGAACCGUGAGGCUUAACCUU
rnacentral:rRNA from 1 species